rnacentral:rRNA from 1 species
AGUGAACGCUGGCGGCGUGCCUAAUACAUGCAAGUCGAACGAAGUGGCGCACGGGUGAGUAAUAUAUAGUUAAUCUGCCCUACACAGAGGAACAACAGUUGGAAACGACUGCUAAUACCUCAUAGUGUAGGAUGCGACUAUAUCGUAUCAGCUAGUUGGUAAGGUAAUGGCUUACCAAGGAUAUGACGCGUAACUGGUCUGAGAGGAUGAUCAGUCACAUUGGAGCUGAGACACGGUCCAGGCUCCGACGGGAGGCAGCAGUAAGGAAGAUUGCGCAAUGGGGGAAACCCUGACGCAGCAACGCCGCGUGGAGGAUGACACUUUGCGGAGCGUAAACUCCUUUGAUCAGGAAAGCGGUACCUGAUGAAUAAGCACCGACUAACUCAGUGCCAGCAGCCGCGGUAAUAC